GGGGCUGUAAGGUGUUCGACAUAAGUUGUUGUUAUUCAAUAAUUGCAAAUCAAAUUCUACCUUUUUCUAUUCC
rnacentral:tmRNA from 2 species